UGGGGAAUAUUGCACAAUGGGCGCAAGCCUGAUGCAGCCAUGCCGCGCGUAUGAAGAAGGCCUUCGGGUUGUAAAGUACUUUCAGCGGGGAGGAAGGUGUUGUGGUUAAUAACCACAGCAAUUGACGUUACCCGCAGAAGAAGCACCGGCUAACUCCGUGCCAGCAGCCGCGGUAAUACGGAGGGUGCAAGCGUUAAUCGGAAUUACUGGGCGUAAAGCGCACGCAGGCGGUCUGUCAAGUCGGAUGUGAAAUCCCCGGGCUCAACCUGGGAACUGCAUCCGAAACUGGCAGGCUUGAGUCUUGUAGAGGGGGGUAGAAUUCCAGGUGUAGCGGUGAAAUGCGUAGAGAUCUGGAGGAAUACCGGUGGCGAAGGCGGCCCCCUGGACAAAGACUGACGCACAGGUGCGAAAGCGUGGGGAGCAAACA
rnacentral:rRNA from 1 species